rnacentral:rRNA from 1 species
AACGAACGCUGGCGGCAUGCCUAACACAUGCAAGUCGAACGAGACCUUCGGGUCUAGUGGCGCACGGGUGCGUAACGCGUGGGAAUCUGCCCUUAGGUUCGGAAUAACUUCGGGAAACUGAAGCUAAUACCGGAUGAUGACGUAAGUCCAAAGAUUUAUCGCCUAAGGAUGAGCCCCGCGUUGGAUUAGCUAGUUGGUGAGGUAAAGGCUCACCAAGGCGACGAUCCAUAGCUGGUCUGAGAGGAUGAUCAGCCACACUGGGACUGAGACACGGCCCAGACUCCUACGGGAGGCAGCAGUGGGGAAUAUUGGACAAUGGCGAAAGCCUGAUCCAGCAAUGCCGCGUGAGUGAUGAAGGCCUUAGGGUUGUAAAGCUUUUUUACCCGGGAUGAUAAUGACAGUACCGGGAGAAUAAGCUCCGGCUAACUCCGUGCCAGCAGCCGC